rnacentral:rRNA from 1 species
CCUACGGGUGGCUGCAGUGGGGAAUCUUGCGCAAUGGACGAAAGUCUGACGCAGCGACGCCGCGUGGGUGAUGAAGGCCUUCGGGUUGUAAAGCCCUGUGGGGAGAGAAGAAUAAGUGCGGGCUAAUACCCCGCAUGAUGACGGUAUCUCCUUAGCAAGCACCGGCUAACUCUGUGCCAGCAGCCGCGGUAAGACAGAGGGUGCAUAAGUGGUUCGGAAGUACUGGGCGGAAAUCGGGUGAGGGCGAUCUGAAAGCCCCGGGCUCACCCCGGGAAGUGCACUCGAUACUGUUAGGCUAGAGUACUGGAGAGGUUGGUGGAAUUCUCGGUGUAGAGGUGAAAUUCGUAGAUAUCGAGAGGAACACCGGUGGCGAAGGCGGCCAACUGGACAGAUACUGACGCUGAGACACGAAAGCGUGGGGAGCAAACAGGAUUAGAUACCCCAGUAGUC